UACGAAGGGUGCAACCGUUGCUCGGAAUUAUUGGGCGUAAAGCGCACGUAGGCGGCUUGGCAAGUCGGAUGUGAAAUCCCUCGGCUCAACCAAGGAAGUGCAUCCGAAACUGCUGAGCUUGAGUACUUAAGAGGAUCGCGGAAUUCCCGGUGUAGAGGUGAAAUUCGUAGAUAUCGGGAGGAACACCGGUGGCGAAGGCGGAUCUCUGGGCCUGUCCUGACGCUGAGGCGCGAAAGCUAGGGGAGCGAACAGG
rnacentral:rRNA from 1 species